AGGCUGUUGACCAGAUUGUUUGUAUUGUGUGUUUGUGUUUCUCUCUGUUCCUGAGUUUUCCUCUUAAACACACUGUAAUCCACAGAUACGAGCAGAGGAACAAAAAGAUCCUGGUGUUACACGUCUGACCCUGGAAACGUUCUUCAUAAGUUAUUGUUGAU